UGGUCUCUUACAUCUUUUUCCACAGAAGUAUUAAGGCAUUUAACUUUCAUUUAGGCCACUGAUUUUCCAUUACUUUCAGCUAGAAAUAACACGUCUGGAUACCUAGGAGGAUCUGAGUCUCUGUGCUGAUCCUUGCAGCACUGUGGUUACUGCACAGCGUGUUUGCAGCACAUUUCAGCUCUGACAGGCAGCGAUGCUUUUCAGCAGUUUCUGGCUCUAAGAGUGCCAAACCUGAAACCUCUGAUCAGGAAUGUGAUUUGCAAAUCUACCCAAGCAGACACUUUUGGAGAGAUGAAGCACGGUCAAAAGUUGGAUCCAAACUUUUUCCAGAAAUGGGGUUGGAUGUGAGCAGAAAGCCUGGCCAGAGUUGCUGCCUCCAGAAACUGCUCUGUGGCUCAGUGUGAGCAUGCACACACAAAAGUCCCAGUGCAACGUGGAGAUCAAGAGGAUCAAGGUGUUCCAGCUUUUCAUCCUCAGUGCUGGUGCAGAAAAGCUUCAAGUUUUGUUGUUUGCCUUCGUUACCUGCAGUCCGCAGGGGCAGGCAGUUUCGGGGAGCAGGGGCCGCUUCGUGGGUCCCGCUCUGCAGCUGUGAGCUCUGCAGUGGAGAAAGGACAGAGUCUGCCAGAGGCCCGCAGCUGCAUCAGGUGGAAAGGCGACUCCCAUCGCCAGCAGAGGAUCCGCUGGGGCCCAGGCACCCUGCCUGUGAGGGAGAGCUGCCAGCUCUGCCUCUGAAGUCGUGCUGUGGAUCCCAGUGAAGCAGUGCUAACGCGAGCCUUAAGCAAUACAGAGACUGGCUGCUACUGGACCAUCGCAGGGCUGAAAAUGCCCUUAGCACCUUUGAAAACCAACCAGCAGAACAUUUUUAUUGUCUGAUAACCGAGCAAUUAACUCGUGUCACAACUGUAUAGCGUUUCUUUACAUAAUAUGGAGCUUUUAAGAAGAAAAUUAAACCUGCCAAGCAUCAUUACAUGAUAAGCCUACCAAGCAAGCAACUAUUCAGAUUUCAGAGGCCUUGACUGAAGAACCUGGGAAAGUUCAGACAACUGGAAAAUGUAAGCAUCUGGCCAGACUCCAGAUAAUUUACCAGUACAUUAGAGGUAAUUUUUUGCUGGGUUCAUGUAUACCUGGUGAUUCCUAUUCAACUAUGGAAAUUGUUCUUGUAUACGUCCUCAUUACAUGCAAGUGACACGUUAGACACCAAGCUACAGCCUGUUGCUCCUGCUGCUUCUGAUCAGAAACCUGACAUCUCACUGAAAUGGAAGUGAAAAUGUGGAAGCCUUUGGAAGAUCUUGGUAGGAAUCCUAUGGAGUGCAUUAGCAUUUGGUGAGCUGGGCACAAGAAUUACUCAGGAAAUUAAAAGGAGGAUGAUAUUUUGAGGUGAUAAAACAUUAAAAUAUGGAACUUGCAUUUGAGUCAGAUCCAGACUUAAUUUUCCCUUUUUAAGCUGUAGCUUAUGAAAAGCCUGAUUCUACGCCAGUAACGAGUGAAGUCUUUGGGAUAUUGCAAGACGGAGAAGAGAACAAAUUUGAUGGUGCUGGUGUUGGGCUUCUCAGUGACAUUUUGAUGAAAUGAAAAAUGCUGAAACAAGUCAAAGGACAGGGAAGGUGGCAGAGUAGCUGAAACAAAACGGCAGGCAAGCCUACUUACAUGACACGUUAAUUAAGGCGAUGUAGUUGUAGCUAUCCAUGCUGCAGUGGGUCACUGAACAAGGAGGAAGCAGUGGGACGGCUACAGCCUCUUUGAUAAUGAAUUCAUUUUGAUAGGCUCCCGCUGACACCUACAAAUGUUUCUCUGACAGAGUCAGCCUUUCAGAAGAGCUAAAUUCUCAACAGUGCAGCUUUGGCUUAGGUGGUCCUGCUGCCACACCAGCUGGGGGGACAUAACGAUUUUGAGAUACCAUUCUCUUUUUUUCGAGAAAAACGUGGAUGUGAAGGAAAAAUUCAUCCCUCAGUUUGCUGCACAGACUAGCUCUAAUAUGAAGGUCUUGAACUUACAAAAUAGCAAUACAGAUCCUUCCCAUGUCCUCCAGCUUCACCCAAUUUCCAGGCUGACUCAAGUUGUCCCAAGAGGCUGUGGAGGACCGUCCCCUGGAGUCUAUCUUCAAAGGAACUGAGGUUUACAAAAAGGUCUGUAUUUUGCUGCAAGUACCAGAAAAAAAAAAAAAAAAAAGAUGAUGUGGGCAUGAAACCUGUAAGGAGGCACUCUGCAAAUGUCUUCCCGGGGCCGCUGGAAUGAGGAACACCCCAAGCCUCCAGCUACAGCCCUGUGGUCCUGGGGCCGCGCUGUGUUGGGCGCAGCUCACAGAUGCUGCAUGGUGCUGGUGUGAGGCCUUGGCUGCUGGUGAAAUACAAACCAGCCCUUUUUUUUAAUUAGAUGUAUUUAGCUCUGCUGUGGCCUGUUGGAAAUAUGUGUACAGAGAUUAACAAAGCAUUCUGUAAAGGCAGGAAAAAAUAAAGUAUCCUUAGUGAAAUACA
ensembl:lncRNA